rnacentral:rRNA from 1 species
AACCAGGUUUUUAUUCCCUUUAAACACAAGAAAACCCGCCUUGUUUUUUUUUAAAGAGGUGGGUCUGCUUAAACCUUUUGGAGAGGCGCCCGCGGGGUUUUUUAACUUUGUGGGGAAGAAAAAGCCUCCCACAAGGCAAUUGUAUGGUCCCCCCCCGGGAGAGGUUAUUCGCCCCCAUUGGGGAUUGAAACACCGGCCCCAGUCUUCUUAGGGGAGCCACCAGUAGGGAAUCUUCCACAAUUGGACGCAAGUUUGAUGGAGCAACCCCCCGUGAAUGAAGAAGGGUUUCGGCUCGUAAAGCUCUGUUGUUAAAGAAGAACGUGGGUAAGAGUAACUGUUUACCCAGUGACGGUAUUUAACCAGAAAGCCACGGCUAACUACGUGCCAGCAGCCGCGGUAAUACGUAGGUGGCAAGCGUUAUCCGGAUUUAUUGGGCGUAAAGCGAGCGCAGGCGGUCUUUUAAGUCUAAUGUGAAAGCCUUCGGCUCAACCGAAGAAGUGCAUUGGAAACUGGGAGACUUGAGUGCAGAAGAGGACAGUGGAACUCCAUGUGUAGCGGUGAAAUGCGUAGAUAUAUGGAAGAACACCAGUGGCGAAGGCGGCUGUCUGGUCUGCAACUGACGCUGAGGCUCGAAAGCAUGGGUAGCGAACAGGAUUAGAUACCCUGGUAGUCCAUGCCGUAAACGAUGAUUACUAAGUGUUGGAGGGUUUCCGCCCUUCAGUGCUGCAGCUAACGCAUUAAGUAAUCCGCCUGGGGAGUACGACCGCAAGGUUGAAACUCAAAAGAAUUGACGGGGGCCCGCACAAGCGGUGGAGCAUGUGGUUUAAUUCGAAGCUACGCGAAGAACCUUACCAGGUCUUGACAUCUUCUGACAGUCUAAGAGAUUAGAGGUUCCCUUCGGGGACAGAAUGACAGGUGGUGCAUGGUUGUCGUCAGCUCGUGUCGUGAGAUGUUGGGUUAAGUCCCGCAACGAGCGCAACCCUUAUUACUAGUUGCCAGCAUUAAGUUGGGCACUCUAGUGAGACUGCCGGUGACAAACCGGAGGAAGGUGGGGACGACGUCAAAUCAUCAUGCCCCUUAUGACCUGGGCUACACACGUGCUACAAUGGAUGGUACAACGAGUCGCGAGACCGCGAGGUUAAGCUAAUCUCUUAAAACCAUUCUCAGUUCGGACUGUAGGCUGCAACUCGCCUACACGAAGUCGGAAUCGCUAGUAAUCGCGGAUCAGCAUGCCGCGGUGAAUACGUUCCCGGGCCUUGUACACACCGCCCGUCACACCAUGAGAGUUUGUAACACCCAAAGCCGGUGGGGUAACCUUUAGGAGCUAGCCGUCUAAGUGACAGAGAAGGA